rnacentral:rRNA from 1 species
UACGAAGGGGGCUAGCGUUGCUCGGAAUCACUGGGCGUAAAGCGCACGUAGGCGGAUCUUUAAGUCAGGGGUGAAAUCCCGAGGCUCAACCUCGGAACUGCCUUUGAUACUGGGGAUCUCGAGUCCGGGAGAGGUGAGUGGAACUGCGAGUGUAGAGGUGAAAUUCGUAGAUAUUCGCAAGAACACCAGUGGCGAAGGCGGCUCACUGGCCCGAUACUGACGCUGAGGUGCGAAAGCGUGGGGAGCAAACAGG